UACAGAGGUCUCAAGCGUUGUUCGGAUUCAUUGGGCGUAAAGGGUGCGUAGGUGGCGCCGUAAGUCGGGUGUGAAAUUUCGGAGCUUAACUCCGAAACUGCAUUCGAUACUGCGGUGCUUGAGGACUGGAGAGGAGACUGGAAUUUACGGUGUAGCGGUGAAAUGCGUAGAGAUGUGGAGGAACACCAGUGGCGAAGGCGACUCUCUGGUCUGUAACUGACGCUGAGGCGCAAAAGCGUGGGGAGCAAACAGG
rnacentral:rRNA from 1 species